rnacentral:sRNA from 1 species
AAAACAUCGGACUCAUGUAGAAUCACAGUCCAAGAAGAUAACCACUUCCUAGAGCCGGCCAAGGCAAAUUAAAGUACCAAGAGAGAAUUCCAGCAGCACAAAAGCUAGAGGUUUAUUACUAGCAAAGCCAGUAUAUAUCAACGGCCUGUAGCAAUCUGCUGACAGGACAAGGUGUGUUCUUGCAGUCCACAUAAGCAGAAACCAAGUAAGGAUAAACAUAAAACGACGUCAUUUCGAUCGAUUGAGUAUAUAUAUACUUCUAGCUAGUGAUCUCUCUUCCUUGUCACAUAUAUUUCGUCUAUGUUAUUUAUUUACAGGCCCACUACUACACAUCGUCCUUGUAUGGGCAAAAAAAUAUUCUCUCUGUCCUAGCUGGUCUUGAGGAAAUAUUUCUCGAACUAAAACCAAUUAUUGAACUCUUUUAAAGUUGACAAACUAGUAGGAUGUUAAUUAAACAGGUCACAUUUUAUUUUCAGAGCAAAAGGCUAGCUAGCUAUAUAGUUGGAGGUUGGAGAUAGAAGUCGAUCAUCCAUCAACCAGUUGCUGCCUCCAAUUAAUUCUCAAAAUUUUGAAGUCCGCGUAUAUAUUGUUGAAACAGGAACUCAAUUUAAUUCAUCAGCAAUUGACAGGUGACUAGCACCAUAUAGCAUGCAGCUAGCCAAUAAUCCGGAAAAAGAAAUUAAAAGGUAGAUCCAAGAAUGAAUUAGAGCUAGAGAGACUUAUAUUUAUAAAACGUCCUCCACCAUGACAGUGACCAGAUGAUAUAAAUCCAUGCGUAGUACACGGAUCGAAGCACCACAUAAGCAAUCUGAUCAUCAUCAUCAUCCUCGUCGUCGACCUCGUAUAGCUCACGAGCCAGCUUUGCAUGGAGGCCAUGUGUGCACAUAGUGCCUAAUAAAAUCAUCAUGAAACAUGCAAAUCCAAUGGAAUAGGAGGAGUCGCCACUAUGCCACAAAUGCUGACAUGACAUGUUGGCUCUCCUAUGUCCACAUAAGCAGGAGUAUGGAUAAAGUGAACUUUCCAGGUGGCCCCUCUGGCCUCCAUGUAUCCGACUAGGCACCCGGCCUCCCAUCCACUCAAAGAGACAGCAGCAACAGGACAAGGGGUGACCUGGUGUCCACGUAGGAGCCAAAAAGCGCAGGGUAACCAACCUGAUUGGGACAAGAGAAAUUGCUAAGGGGCACAAUUAAUCAAACUCCGUGUAGCAUGCAUUAUGUUUAUUUGUGUGACUCUCUUGUGUUUCGGUGCUUCGAACCAACUGAAGAUUUGUACGGAGAAUAGUAAAAAAAAAAAAUUUCAAAACGAUGUAACGAGUAACCAAUUCAACCGAGAAGGUGACAUGUUCCUGCU